rnacentral:rRNA from 1 species
UGGGGAAUCAUGGUCAAUGGGCGAAAGCCUGAACCUGCGACGCCGCGUGAGUGAUGAAGGUUUUCGGAUCGUAAAGCUCUGUCUUUGGGGAAGAUAAUGACGGUACCCAAGGAGGAAGCCACGGCUAACUACGUGCCAGCAGCCGCGGUAAUACGUAGGUGGCGAGCGUUAUCCGGAUUUACUGGGCGUAAAGGGAGCGUAGGCGGAUGAUUAAGUGGGAUGUGAAAUACCCGGGCUCAACUUGGGUGCUGCAUUCCAAACUGGUUAUCUAGAGUGCAGGAGAGGAGAGUGGAAUUCCUAGUGUAGCGGUGAAAUGCGUAGAGAUUAGGAAGAACACCAGUGGCGAAGGCGACUCUCUGGACUGUAACUGACGCUGAGGCUCGAAAGCGUGGGGAGCAAACA